rnacentral:rRNA from 1 species
GACGAACGCUGGCGGCGUGCUUAACACAUGCAAGUCGAACGGAAAGGCCCUGCUUUUGUGGGUGCUCGAGUGGCGAACGGGUGAGUAACACGUGAGUAACCUGCCCUUGACUUUGGGAUAACUUCAGGAAACUGGGGCUAAUACCGGAUAUGAGCUCCUGCUGCAUGGUGGGGGUUGGAAAGUUUCGGCGGUUGGGGAUGGACUCGCGGCUUAUCAGCUUGUUGGUGGGGUAGUGGCAUACCAAGGCUUUGACGGGUAGCCGGCCUGAGAGGGUGACCGGCCACAUUGGGACUGAGAUACGGCCCAGACUCCUACGGGAGGCAGCAGGGGGGAAUAUUGCACAAUGGGCGGAAGCCUGAUGCAGCAACGCCGCGUGCGGGAUGACGGCCUUCGGGUUGUAAACCGCUUUCGCCUGUGACGAAGCGUGAGUGACGGUAAUGGGUAAAGAAGCACCGGCUAACUACGUG